UUCCAUAACACAUAGGCGGCCAAUGUGAUAUCCUUCCGAGCCAACAUAUCUUUCUUCGGAACUUCGUUCAUCUUAUCCCAGCAGGUUCUAAUCGAUCCUCCCCUCCUAGCCGUGCGGGGCAAGUGACAUAAUUACUCAAAUGUCAAACUUCUUUCGCAUAGUGACAACGGAGGAACAAAUGAAUUGCCGACUCCAGAACUUGAUCGCACAACAUGCAUCUGUCAUUGUGUGUCAAUUGCCUCGCGUACCACCAUUCUGUCGUCCUCGACCUAUUCUGCAACAUAAGCCAUAAGAAAAAUUUAAUCUUCCCUUCGAUUAUUAUGGACCAGGCUUUCUGAAGAUGGGGCCGUGAGAACCAAGCAUAGCUCAUUUUGGGUGGUCAGCCAACGAGGUAUAUACGCUGGCAGCCCAUCAAAACAUGUUCGAUCCUCGAAUGUCGCACUUUGAUGACUCAUUUUGUAAAAAUUAUAUAUCUAUAUACUCGAUCAAGUCUAAUGCGCUCAAUCUCUCCGAGCCGGGGUGAAGCUAGCUCCGAGGUGUACGUGUGCAUUGAUUGACUCCUAUCUUCGUCAUGGCAGCUAAUGCACACUCACGAGCAAUGCACGACCGAGUUAGCUUUCGUGACAAAAGCCAGAGUAACAGUCUAGGUUGCUAUCGAAUGUGAUUGGCCAGCACAGAUCGAUACACCCAACUGCUGCCUCGAAAACCUUCCUUUUGCAUGUUCUUUUGUCGCAAGCUAACGCGAGUGUCGCUGUCUGGGACAACUCUUCCCGACUGAUUUUCCCAAGUGUCAUAGCUGCUGUUGUUAGUGUAUCCCACUCCCACUUUCCCAGUGUGCAAAACGACCGCUCCCUUUUCUUUUGGAUUCUUAAUCAAGCAUAUUGGUCACGGUUCCAACUUCCUGUGCAACUAUUGGUGUCGACCAUAUCUGCUACGUGCCUAAGUGUACUCGUUUUCUGAUUUGGCUAAAAAUAAUACUCCCUCCGUCCAACAAAAUACGGAGUAGUAUGUCUUAAGUUUGUCAAAAUUUGGAUGUAUUUAGACAUAAUUUUAUGCAUAUAGAUGCAUUCAAUGCUCGGCUUCAAUCUCCAAGCCCAGCCCGUCCUAAAGCAUUCGUAAUAGUGUGUUGGCCAUUCCAUGUUUCUUUGUCCGCCGUUCAACACGCACCUAUUUGUAGCCCGCACUACUGUUUCAAACAAGAAUCGGACUACAGCUGCCGACGAAGGCACGCAGCUACUGUGUUUUUCUUUUCUUUUCUUUUAUUUUUUCGAGGAAGCUACUUUUUUUUUACUGCGUACAUGUCAGAUUUAUAAAAUCUUUAUAUAGAGGGUUAAUUCAGCUUGUGCAAGCUUAGUGCUGUGCAAUGUUGUCAUCAAAUACAUGAUGAAAUCUCAAGAUAAGAAAGGUGGAUGGACGUAAGUUGAUUUCAAAAGACCAUGAUGCAUAUUUUGGUUUUAUUAAGGAUCUUUGAUGCUUAUAUAUGUUAGUUUCGACAUAUGUUAUCCAGAUUAUAUACUUGUAUAAAGUAACAAUAGAAUUGGGGGUAGUACUCUUUUUAUUUGGAGUAAUAAUCAAGUACUACUAGUAAUGAGUACAGUUCCGACACAGACUCAUGUACUCUUUUAGCUAGCUAGCACUUUCACGAAAUGGCGGCUCCCGCGCUCUAGCUUUUGUCCGCAUGCAACACCUUUUUUUCUGGCCCAAACUUAACGGUGCAACGGCUACGUGUCGACGUCUCUAGCACCACCAGCUAGCUUGCUGAAAAGUGAUUAACGAGUCGUACUUAACGAGUCUGUCAAUAAGGCGCGCGCUGGCCCCUUGUUUUUAAUUUGCACACCCUUUACCUUUUUUGAGAAGAAGAGAGGCCAGCCGGCCGGCUUUUGUAAGGCAAGCCAAACGCGUCGUCACGCCCCGGCCGGAGACUGGCCGCAAAUGCUGAUUCAUGCAUGCAUGUAUAUUACACUGCAGAGAGGUACGUGCCGCUGUCACGUACGUCGUUCACGGCUAGCUUUUCCCAAGGAAAAGAACUCUCCUUUUCUUUUCCCGAAACGUGCAUGUCUGCGCAUGGGGUGAGACAGCCGAUCGAGGUCCUUGUCUUUUAGUUUUUUUUUUUUGUCUUAGCUCAUCGCACAUCUGUCCAUGCAUGCAUGCCAGGUAAGCGUGUGCCGCAAUGCAUGCAUGCAAGGAGAGGGGGGUUGACUUUCUUUAAUUUGGAGACCGGCAGAUCGGUUGACUAGUAUAUAUUUUCGGUUGACUAGUAUACUUUGUUUGAGGUCGGCUGGCCGUCUGUUUCUUUCCAGUGGUACACAAUGAUGUGCGCGGGAUUUUAAAGAUACCGCAUGAUGGGAGGCCAGCCAAUCCGAUCUCAAUGCCCAUAUAUCAUGACACAACCCGUCGUCGAGAUCCGAAAUUUCAAACAAAAUCCAUCGAAAUAUGGAGUGCCGGGUACUGUAAAAUUAAAUCCUCUCAAACUAUGAGCGAAAAUAUCCGUGGCCAGCUAAUUAAGCACACAAGCAUUCGAGACGACGGACGAAGCACACCC
rnacentral:lncRNA from 1 species